UAGAGCAGGAUGGAGAAGCAGGGCACGUGCAAUACUAACUUAGAGAGAAUCACAUUCUUUUCUGUUUCACCAGUCAAACAGAUUCUGUUAUAGCUGCAGUGAGUUAGUGCUUCAUGUGUCCCUCUUCCCCAUCAUGACCAC
rnacentral:pre_miRNA from 2 species